AUUUGUGAAGUGACAACAGAGAAAGAGGAUUUGGGCUGUGCCAUGACUUUGAUAUGCUCGGACUUAAUGAGCAACGUAAGGAGAGUCUAUAGCAGUUAAAGAUGAUGGAAUUACAGGUGGGCAGGGAGGAGGAAGGAAUUAGAGGAGAUAAAGAAGAAACUAUGGCAAUUCAAUGUUAAAAUCUGUGGGACACGCUAGUCGCCAGGGCUGCAUGAAGCGCACAAGAUGGCAAGAACUAGCUCAUCUGGAAAAGUAACCAUAAUUCUUUAUAAGUUUCCUCAUAUUUGAAGCAUAAAGGUUACAACUAAAUAUCAGGAAAUGGCUUUAAGUUUCUUCAUAUUUGAAGCAUAAAGGUUACAAAAUAAUAUCAGGAAAUGACUUACUCUUAGUUCUUAACUUCAUGGUCAGGAAUCAAAUGAAAUGGGUCCUAAUAAGAGACCCACUGACAUAUAAGGCACAGAUGAGCCAUGUGAAAGGAAGUCCAAACCAUAUUCAGUGAUACGAAAUAUCCUUGCCUCCUCAGUGAAGGAUGAAUUUAUUGCUCGUUUUUCGUCAUUGUGCAUUGAGAUUCAGUUGCUAAGUUGUGGAAUGACUGGAGGAUAACUAAUAGUUAGAAAAGCUUUAAAACAAUGACAAUGGAAAAGUUGUGGAAUCUGAUAGUUAUGCAUGUGUAAAGUGAGCCUUGUGGUUCAGUUGAACAUGCUUGGCUUUCACGGUAUAUCAAAAUGGAAUUCAUGAAAUAAAUUGGGUAAGAUCUUCUAUAACAAUGCAUCGACUAUCGAGAUGGAAAAUGAGCUAUGUUGUUUGAAGAUUUCCAGAUAUCUUCAAGUAUAGUACCAUCACCAAUGCAUAUUUCAUCAAAAUAAAGAUUGUACCUCAAAGGUUUUUCGCUGUGACAUGGUUUAUGUAUAUAGUAUGAUAAUCUGAAGAUAUUUACUGAUGGUUUAUUUCGCAUCUGGAGGUGCAAGUUCAUACUGCAGCUCUCAGAAGGUAGUUGAGCUUGAUAGAUGGACAGCACCUGCAAUUGAAACCUGCCUCUGAUUGUGAAUUUAUUAUAACUAUAUGUACCGUAAUUUUCGUCACUCUGCUAAGUGCUCUGAUGUACGAGGUCUUUUCACUUUUAUCCUGAUACAGUUUUACUGCACCACAGGGAGUCGUGGGAAAGAAUUACAGUUUUACUUCAAAAUGGCCCAGGAGUUGUGGCGGGUGCUCAUCCAUUGCAGAGGUGGAUGUACACAAAGGAGGUGCUGCACCUGCAGAUGACACAAUGCCCAUCCGAUGUGGCUCAGAAGUAGCGUGGAGAGCAGUCCAAUAGAUUUAGAAGUUCCAGAAAUGCUCAUCUCAUGUAGGAAGGUAAUAGAGUGCACAGGGUCUCAACUGAGCUCUUGUAAAAACGAACAAUUGAAAGCAUAGUUGGAGAGAUUCAAAGCUGUGACAAUAAGGUAUGAAUAGAAAGCCGUUUUACAUUGUUUUCCUAAAUUUCGGGUGAUUGUGCAUGUACUAUCUACGGUCUUCUCAACCUACUUAAUUGCUGCUAGCUUGUGCUUUUGUUUGUUCCGAACCGGAUGUGAAAUCCUAAUCCUUAACAUUUGCAGAAUUUGCUGUGGGUCCAAAGAGUAUUUUCCUCGGCCUAUCUAUUUCAACCAUCCUUAUAUCUGCUCUCUCUCUAUAUAUACAAUAUAUACAUAUAUCUGUCUGUGUAAAUAUUUUUGGCUUAGAAACUGAGGCUUCUUGUACUU
rnacentral:lncRNA from 1 species